CAUAGUUUCUCUCAGGUGAAUGCUGAAGAGGCGCGAGCGAGACUCAAACUCACCUGUUGCGCGACGCAAACGAGGCGCUGCGUUCAAUUGUUUGUUUGUUUUUACUUACAUAUUUUUUUUUACUAUAUAUAACUAGUUUGGUGAGAGGUUUAUUUCUUCCACACGUUUCGUGGAAGCCUCUUUGGAAACCUCACAGCACACAUGGAUGGUGAUUCGCUGUUUGGUGUAUCAGGUCUGAUUAUGGAGAAUGGGAUCAGCAGCACCUCCAGCAAUCCUUUCUAUUCAAG